AAUCCAGACUCCUACGGGAGGCAGCAGUGGGGAAUAUUGCACAAUGGGCGAAAGCCUGAUGCAGCAACGCCGCGUGAAGGAAGAAGGGUUUCGGCUCGUAAACUUCUAUCAACAGGGACGAAAGAAAUGACGGUACCUGAAUAAGAAGCCCCGGCUAACUACGUGCCAACAGCCGCGGUAAUACGUAGGGGGCAAGCGUUAUCCGGAUUUACUGGGUGUAAAGGGAGCGUAGACGGCAUGGCAAGUCAGAUGUGAAAGCCCGGGGCUCAACCCCGGGACUGCAUUUGAAACUGUCAGGCUGGAGUGCAGGAGAGGUAAGUGGAAUUCCUAGUGUAGCGGUGAAAUGCGUAGAUAUUAGGAGGAACACCAGUGGCGAAGGCGGCUUACUGGACAGAAACUGACACUGAGGCUCGAAAGCGUGGGGAGCAAACAGGAUUAGAUACCCUCGUAGA
rnacentral:rRNA from 1 species